rnacentral:lncRNA from 1 species
CUUCUGCAGAAGGCCGUUGAUCGAGGUGAGGACAGUUCAGUUUUGCCUAGGAUGUCAAUGGUCAACUACUUCUGAGGCUGAAUUUAUUCAGUUUGAGCCAAGUCCUUGAAUGGGAAUUUUCUUUUCUGUGAUAAAUAAAGUUCAAUAAGUCCGGUUGAUCACGUGCUUGAGCAUGGUUUGGAGUUCAGAGAGCGCUCAUAUGUUCUUGUUAACUACAACAAGAUUCAGCCUCCUGAUCCGCACACCAAUUCCAUCAAUUGUUCUGGGUUGUAACUUUUGCACGAAAGAAUGAUUGAUUUUCUUUCGCAACAUCAACCAUUGGAUUGUAUUUUGCA